rnacentral:rRNA from 1 species
GACGAACGCUGGCGGCGUGCCUAACACAUGCAAGUCGAACGGCAACGCCCUGCUUUUGUGGUGUUCUCGAGUGGCGAACGGGUGAGUAACACAUCAGUAACCUUCCCUUGACUUUGGGAUAACCUCAGGAAACUGGGUCUAUUACCCGUUAGGAGCUCCUGCUGCAUGGUGGGGCUUGCAAAGUUUCGGCGGUUGGGGAUGGACUCGCGGCUUAUCAGCUUGUUAGUGGAGUAGUGGCUUACCAAGGCCGUGACGGGUAGCCGGCAUGAGAAGGUGACCCGCGACAUGACGACUGAGGGACGGACCAGAGGGGAAUGGGGGGCAACAGUGGAAAGUAUUACCCAGUAAGCCGGAGCGUGAUAAGACGGCGCCGCGGUCGGGAAGAACUCCUUCCGGUUGUAAACCGCUUUCGCCUAUGACGGAGCGUGGAUGACGGUAAUGGGAGAAGAAGCACCGGCUAACUACGUG